GUUGAACAGCACGCCAUCAUUUGUUUUUUUUUUUGAGAAAAGCUAAUAUCACUUUCUUAUUUAUUAUUAUAAUAAUAAAACCAUACUUUUUAUUACUAAAAAAACCCUACAGAUCAAUCCAUUGCUCUCUUUCUUUUCUCACCCCGCCUCCCUCUAUCUUUUUCUUUAUUCUCUGCAUUGAUAGCUACUGCCCAGAUCAAGCAUGAAGCUCUGGCUAUCGAUUGUGAAAAUAAACCACGAAAUCGAGUUCCCCGCCCCCGAAAACCCACAUAUUCGCCUCUCUCUCUCCUUUUUCACAUGAACCGUCUCAGCCCUAUUUCUCUCUCUCAGAAGGAAGACGCCGGCGCUAGUAUAGCCGCACUCCGGAGAUGGGUUUUCACCAUGGAUUCAAGAUAUACGCCCCUGGAAGCCUCAUUCUCCUUCUCUCUCGAAAAAAGAACACAUCGGCAGAUGGUGGCACUGGUGAAGAUGGUCGUUGGUGGAGAUAACUCUGGGAUGGUGGCGAUGGUGGAGAUGGUUGUCGUCGACAUCUCCCUCUCUCUUACAGAUUCUAUCAAUGGAAAAAAAAUGAGUUGUUUAUCUUACUAAAUAUUCAAGUUCAAAGCUUCAAGUUCAAGUUUAGAAAUUGACUGAAGUCUGAUUGUAUUGUUUGUUUUGUUACAAUCUCUAAUUUCUUUUGUUGUAAUUUUUAGAAUCAUAUACUAGCAUACAGAUUAUUCAACCAUUUCUGGGUUUUGGGUUUGUAUAUAUUGAUUUGUAUAUGAUUUUUUAGUUUUAUUUUUUUUUUUGUUUAGAUUAGUAAUUUUUUUUUGAAACCACUCAUUUGUAUUACUGUUAUUAAUUAUAAUUAUAAUUAUUUUGUGUA